GAAGAUAUAGCUCAGUGGUAAAGCACAUGCUUAGCAUGCAUGAAGUCUUGGGUUCAAUCCCCAGUACCUCCA
rnacentral:tRNA from 1 species